AUUUACAUCAUGUGGAGUCGCAAGACUCCUAUUGCUUUGGGUGACACAUGGGUACGCCAACUCCUAUUUCUUUGGGUAUAGGAUACGCACUGGCAAGGAAGCUUCCCAAGACUGGCGCUGCAGCACAAUCAGGUCAGGGUGCUAGAAUAGUAAAAAGCUCAAGUGAUGAAAAAAAGAUGACGCAUGGUGAUUGGAUGAGC